rnacentral:rRNA from 1 species
UACGUAGGGUGCGAGCGUUGUCCGGAAUUAUUGGGCGUAAAGAGCUCGUAGGCGGUGUGUCGCGUCGGCCGUGAAAACCUGCAGCUCAACUGUGGGCUUGCGGUCGAUACGGGCAUCACUGGAGUUCGGCAGGGGAGACUGGAAUUCCUGGCGUAGCGGUGAAAUGCGCAGAUAUCAGGAGGAACACCGGUGGCGAAGGCGGGUCUCUGGGCCGAUACUGACGCUGAGGAGCGAAAGCGUGGGGAGCGAACAGG